rnacentral:lncRNA from 1 species
UGUCGUCCAGAAAGACCCCAGCCACUUUUUAAAAAUGAAUAUUGCUAAUGCAAGGACUUUUUUUCCCCAUGCAACAAUUCCGUUUGAGAUAUUCGACAAUCCAGGAUUAUGAUGGGUCAAUCUUAUUAAUGGCAGAAUUUAUUGAUCUGAUUCGAACUCAUGACCUCUCGAUCAUCACCAAUGAUGGCUUUAAGUAAUCAAAAUCUUGACAAAUAUAAUGGAGCUAUUCAGACUUAAGAAAAGGUAAUCGAAGUCAUUCAUCAAUGUCAUGUCGGAAAAAAUGGUUAUUAGAAGCCAUGGCAAACUGGUAUCAUUCUGUCAACAACUUCCAUUCUUCAGUUGCACAAGGAACUCCUUGAUGAAGGAUUUUCAUUCAUUUUAACUGGAAUAUUUACUCAAGAUGCCGUGGAAAAUUUAUUCCGCCUUACUAGGUACAAAAGUCCAACUCCAACAUCAUUAGAGGCUCAAAACAAUCUUAGAAUAAUUGCUUUAAGUCAGUUCAUGAAGGAAAGGGGAUCUUCAAGUUAUCAAUAUGAUGAUGGCGAAUAUCUAAUCGAUUUUUUAGAUGAUUUAAAAGAAGGAAGAAAUCAAUCUGACUUGGUGGAUAAUGCAUCUUUUCUUCAAGAACUAACUCAUCAGCUAGAAGAAGAUACUAUGUUGUUCGAACAAUAAACUGAUGUUUUAUAUUAUAUUGUAGGCUAAAUUUUAAACCAAAUUAAGAAAUGUCAGUUUGUUUGUUCGGAUUGUCUUAGUUUUGUUAUUUUGGACACUAAUGAUAGUGGCCCGUAUUCAAAACUCCUUCAUCUAAAAGAUUAUACGGGCCAAUUUUUAUGCUGUUGUAUCAAGGAAAUCUUCGAAAGUAUAUUCAUUGCAGCCAAGAAGCGAUUUCGCAGCUUUAUUAAAACUAACAAAAUUAAUUAUUUAAAAAAUAUAACAAAAAUCCUGCAAGAUAUAAUUGAAAAAGAAAUAAUAAAUAUAUCCCUAGCCGAUUGUUAUAAUAUUAAGACAAAAAUUAUUAGAAAAUAUUCCUAAGUUUGCGUUAAGAUGUUCGCAAAACUUUCUCGAAAGAGACGAACAGAGGAAUGAGGAACAAUGUUCGGGCUAGCAAAAGUGCAAGUAUGAAUGAAAUCGUGCAACACAUUUCUUGAUAAUUGGCCACAUUUACUUAUAUGUAUACUUUAUAUUGGAUUAAAAAAAUUAAUUCCUUAAUCAAGAUUAUAAAAAAAAGUAUUAACAACUAUUUUAUAAGAAAUAAAUAUUUUAAAUUAUGAGAGAAUAAUAACUAUAUAUAUCAGUCGGUGCAAUAGCUGUAGAUGAUGUGACCUUAUUUCUUUCCUUUAUAUUUUUGUUGUAGAUUUUUUGUUUGUCCGCUCUUUCCCUUGAGUUCUUUAAUCAAAUUCAUAAUAUGUAGCAGGGAGGGUUCCCGGACUUAAUGGCGACAGCGAACUAUGUGGGACAGUUUUGCUAUAUCAAGGGGGACUUAAAGCAGAAGGACGGAGGUGAGAGAAGUGAGGAGAUGGAUCUGCGUGGAAAGACAUUUAAUUCAUGGUUAUUUGGAUGGAUCCCUCCUCCGGAGCAAUCGGAAAUAUGGAUCUGCAUCCAUCCAUCCUUACCGUUCCUAUGAAUAUCUAUUCACACGUCUUCUGAUACUCUAUUCAAGGGAUAUCGACUCUUAAGGUGAGAUCCCUUGAACAAGUGUUUCACUCGGUCGAUGGAUCUUGUAUUUUUUAAUGGAAGGAUCGUUGUUUGUGCAAGUGCCUCUUCAUUUCAUGGUCUGUGAUAGUGACUUCGAUUCUCGUGAAUCAUUAUCCUAUACAUAAAUUCCUCCAGAUCCUCUACGGAAUCAUCGUAUACUUCUUUAUUACCACUGAGUCUCUUUUGUCAUUGGAAAAUAAUUGCAAGAUAAUUCUAGACUCGUAAAUAUAAUGUGCUUCUCUUUUCUCGAUAUUUUGAUCUACAAAGCAUAUUCUAUUCUGAUAUUACAUAUAAAUAGUUAUUUAGAACUGGAGUUUCACAAUAAGAAAUAGUUCCCGAAUGAAUUACCUAGUGAGGAACAAUGAGUUUCAUUUCUCAUCCACAGCUCCUCCGUUGAAACUCUUGAAUCCUGUUCCUUCCAAGGUCGACUUUUUUUCGUCUCUUAUUCUGAGAAAAAUAUUUUAUUGUUAAGAAUCCUUCAGUUUCCUUGAUGUAUAUAAUGCAGAGAUCCUUUGGAAAAAAGUAGAAGUCAAUCUAAGACUCUAAAUGAAUAUGUACCCUUUUUUCUCGAUACUUUUGUCUGCAAUACAUAUUAUAUUUUGCUACUAUCUGUGUAAAUAGAUUUUGUGAAUUGUUGAGUCCUAAGUGAUUAUGUGAUAAAAAAUUGUAAGUGACCUCUUAACUUCUAUAGACGUGCAACUUAGUUAGUCUUAAUCAUCUUAAAAAAAAAAAAAAAAAAACUUAAUUGCUAUCACCAUAUUGGAAUAUUACCCCCAUGAAGAUUUAGUAUCUUCACACUAAUAAAAAUUAUUAAACAAUGUUUACCAUAACAGCUCUUAUAUUUAAUUAUUAUUUAUUUUAAAAAUACUCUUUAAUGACAUUAAUACAGAUAAUAUAACAAUCAUUAAUACAGACGUUCAAAAUUAAAAGCUAACUUUAUAUUUCA